rnacentral:tRNA from 3 species
UCCGAGAUAGCUCAGCUGGCAGAGCAGCUGACUGUUAAUCAGCGGGUCGCAGGUUCGAGCCCUGCUCUCGGAGCCA